GACGAACGCUGGCGGCGUGCUUAACACAUGCAAGUCGAACGAAGUGGCGAACGGGUGAGUAACGCGUAAUCAACCUGUCCUUCAGAGGGGGACAACAGUUGGAAACGACUGCUAAUACCGCAUACUGAAGGGGGGGAUUGCGUCUGAUGAGCUAGUUGGAGGGGUAACGUCCCACCAAGGCGAUGAUCAGUAGCCGGGCUGGGAGGAUGAACGGCCACAUUGGGACUGAGACACGGCCCAGACCCCUACGGGAGGCAGCAGUGGGGAAUCUUCCGCAAUGGACGAAAGUCUGACGGAGCAACGCCGCGUGAGUGAUGACGGCCUUCGGGUUGUAAAGCUCUGUUAAUCGGGACGCGGUACCGGAAUAGAAAGCCACGGCUAACUACGUGCCAGCAGCCGCGGUAAUAC
rnacentral:rRNA from 1 species